rnacentral:rRNA from 1 species
GGAUUAGGCAUGCAAGUCGUACGAGAAAGGUUUCUUCGGAGACCGAGUAAAGUGGCGAACGGGUGAGUAAUGCAUAGACAACUUGCCCCCGAGAUGGGGAUAACGUUUCGAAAGGAUCGCUAAUACCCAAUAUCGUCUCGAGUCCGCGGAUUCGAAAUGGAAGGAGGCCUCUGUUUCAAGCUUCCGCUCGGGGAGAGGUUUAUGUCCUAUUAGCUUGUUGGUGAGGUAACGGCUCACCAAGGCUGCGAUGGGUAGCCGACCUGAGAGGGUGACCGGCCACAUUGGGACUGAGACACUGCCCAAACUCCUACGGGAGGCUGCAGUCGAGAAUCUUCCGCAAUGCGCGCAAGCGUGACGGAGCGACGCCGCGUGGGUGAUGAAGGCCUUCGGGUUGUAAAGCCCUGUCAGUUGCUAGGAAACGCAGAAGGUGAAUAGCCUUUUGCCUGACCAUGCAGCAAAGGAAGCACCGGCUAAAUACGUGCCAGCAGCCGCGGUAAUACGUAUGGUGCAAACGUUGUUCGGAAUCACUGGGCCUAAAGAGCGCGUAGGCGGUUAGGUAAGUCAGAUGUGAAUUCCCCCGGCUCAACCGGGGAACUGCAUCUGAUACCGCCUAGCUAGAGUGCAGGAGGGGAGAGUGGAAUUCCUGGUGGAGCGGUGAAAUGCGUAGAUAUCAGGAGGAACGCCGGUGGCGAAAGCGACUCUCUGGACUGUUACUGACGCUGAGGCGCGAAAGCUAGGGGAGCAAACGGGAUUAGAUACCCCGGUAGUCCUAGCCCUAAACGAUGGGCACUAAGUAGAGGGGUUUU